rnacentral:rRNA from 1 species
UGCGAGUCGAGAGGCGUUAUGGCCUCGGCGGACUGCUCAGUAACACGUGGAUAACCUACCCAAGAGUCCGGGAUAACCCCGGGAAACUGGGGAUAAUACCGGAUAGAUCAAACAGGCUGGAAGGCGGUUUGGUUGAAACUUCCGGGGCUUUUGGAUGGGUCUGCGGCUGAUUAGGUUGUUGCCGGUGUAACGUACCGUCAAGCCUGUAAUCAGUACGGGUUGUGGGAGCAAGAGCCCGGAGAUGGAUUCUGAGACACGAAUCCAGGCCCUACGGGGCGCAGCAGGCGCGAAAACUCUACAAUGCAGGCAACUGCGAUAGGGGAACAUCGAGUGGCAUCCAUAUUGGGUGUCUGUCCACCCGCCUAAAAAGCGGGUGUUAGCAAGGGCCGGGCAAGACCGGUGCCAGCCGCCGCGGUAAUACCGGCGGCUCGAGUGGUGGCCGAUAUUAUUGAGUCUAAAGGGUCCGUAGCCGGCUUUGCAAGUCUCUCGGG